rnacentral:lncRNA from 10 species
AGCAGCUGCGCCACCGGCUCAGCCUCGCGGCGGGGGAAACCCGAGCUCCCAACAAAACGGUUCCAUCUUUGGCUAGGCCUUUGAUGUUAUGUGGUCAACAGGGACUGAGGCUCUUUAAGCCCUUAAAUCUCUAAGGGCUAAAUCUCCUUCCUGAUAUUCGCCCCCAAACCGGCACCAAAGAAGGCCCAGAGAGGUUUAACAACUUCCUCAGAAUCACACAGCUUCCAAAUGGUUGGGUUGGGUUUACAUUUAGGCGGUCUUGCUCCAGAGCCAGUGCUCCUAACCUUUGCAAGCCACGAACCUCAAGAAAGUGGAGAAGGAAACGCUGGGAAAUCUGGAAGUCAGACAUGGCAACCUAGUUUAUCUCCCGGGAGCUGACUUCAUUUCUAAACGUAUAGGGGUUUCUUAGAGGAGCUUCAGAAUACUAAUCAUCGCUAGUGAGGGCACUUGGACACUUUGCU